UUAAGCGACUAAGCGUACACGGUGGAUGCCCUGGCAGUCAGAGGCGAUGAAGGACGUGCUAAUCUGCGAAAAGCGUCGGUAAGGUGAUAUGAACCGUUAUAACCGGCGAUGUCCGAAUGGGGAAACCCAGUGUGAUUCGUCACACUAUCGUUAACUGAAUACAUAGGUUAACGAGGCGAACCGGGGGAACUGAAACAUCUAAGUACCCCGAGGAAAAGAAAUCAACCGAGAUUCCCCCAGUAGCGGCGAGCGAACGGGGAGCAGCCCAGAGUCUGAAUCAGCUUGUGUGUUAGUGGAACGGUCUGGAAAGUCCGACGGUACAGGGUGAUAGUCCCGUACACCAAAAUGCACAGGUUGUGAACUCGAAGAGUAGGGCGGGACACGUGGUAUCCUGUCUGAAUAUGGGGGGGACCAUCCUCCAAGGCUAAAUACUCCUGACUGACCGAUAGUGAACCAGUACCGUGAGGGAAAGGCGAAAAGAACCCCGGCGAGGGGAGUGAAAAAGAACCUGAAACCGUGUACGUACAAGCAGUGGGAGCACCUUCGGGUGUGACUGCGUACCUUUUGUAUAAUGGGUCAGCGACUUAUAUUCUGUAGCAAGGUUAACCGUAUAGGGGGAGCCGCAGGGAAACCGAGUCUUAACUGGGCGUUAAGUUGCAGGGUAUAGACCCGAAACCCGGUGAUCUAGCCAUGGGCAGGUUGAAGGUUGGGUAACACUAACUGGAGGACCGAACCGACUAAUGUUGAAAAAUUAGCGGAUGACUUGUGGCUGGGGGUGAAAGGCCAAUCAAACCGGGAGAUAGCUGGUUCUCCCCGAAAGCUAUUUAGGUAGCGCCUCGUGAAUUCAUCUUCGGGGGUAGAGCACUGUUUCGGCUAGGGGGUCAUCCCGACUUACCAACCCGAUGCAAACUACGAAUACCGAAGAAUGUUAUCACGGGAGACACACGGCGGGUGCUAACGUCCGUCGUGAAGAGGGAAACAACCCAGACCGCCAGCUAAGGUCCCAAAGUCAUGGUUAAGUGGGAAACGAUGUGGGAAGGCACAGACAGCCAGGAUGUUGGCUUAGAAGCAGCCAUCAUUUAAAGAAAGCGUAAUAGCUCACUGGUCGAGUCGGCCUGCGCGGAAGAUGUAACGGGGCUAAACCAUGCACCGAAGCUGCGGCAGCGACACUAUGUGUUGUUGGGUAGGGGAGCGUUCUGUAAGCCUGCGAAGGUGACCUGUGAGGGUUGCUGGAGGUAUCAGAAGUGCGAAUGCUGACAUAAGUAACGAUAAAGCGGGUGAAAAGCCCGCUCGCCGGAAGACCAAGGGUUCCUGUCCAACGUUAAUCGGGGCAGGGUGAGUCGACCCCUAAGGCGAGGCCGAAAGGCGUAGUCGAUGGGAAACAGGUUAAUAUUCCUGUACUUGGUGUUACUGCGAAGGGGGGACGGAGAAGGCUAUGUUAGCCGGGCGACGGUUGUCCCGGUUUAAGCAUGUAGGCUGGUUGUCCAGGCAAAUCCGGAUAAUCAAGGCUGAGGUGUGAUGACGAGGCACUACGGUGCUGAAGUAACAAAUGCCCUGCUUCCAGGAAAAGCCUCUAAGCAUCAGGUAACAUUAAAUCGUACCCCAAACCGACACAGGUGGUCAGGUAGAGAAUACCAAGGCGCUUGAGAGAACUCGGGUGAAGGAACUAGGCAAAAUGGUGCCGUAACUUCGGGAGAAGGCACGCUGGUGUGUAGGUGAAGUCCCUGCGGAUGGAGCUGAGACCAGUCGAAGAUACCAGCUGGCUGCAACUGUUUAUUAAAAACACAGCACUGUGCAAACACGAAAGUGGACGUAUACGGUGUGACGCCUGCCCGGUGCCGGAAGGUUAAUUGAUGGGGUUAUCCGUAAGGAGAAGCUCUUGAUCGAAGCCCCGGUAAACGGCGGCCGUAACUAUAACGGUCCUAAGGUAGCGAAAUUCCUUGUCGGGUAAGUUCCGACCUGCACGAAUGGCGUAAUGAUGGCCAGGCUGUCUCCACCCGAGACUCAGUGAAAUUGAACUCGCUGUGAAGAUGCAGUGUACCCGCGGCAAGACGGAAAGACCCCGUGAACCUUUACUAUAGCUUGACACUGAACAUUGAGCCUUGAUGUGUAGGAUAGGUGGGAGGCUUUGAAGCGUGGACGCCAGUCUGCGUGGAGCCAACCUUGAAAUACCACCCUUUAAUGUUUGAUGUUCUAACGUUGGCCCCUGACCGGGGUUGCGGACAGUGUCUGGUGGGUAGUUUGACUGGGGCGGUCUCCUCCCAAAGCGUAACGGAGGAGCACGAAGGUUAGCUAAUCCUGGUCGGACAUCAGGAGGUUAGUGCAAUGGCAUAAGCUAGCUUGACUGCGAGCGUGACGGCGCGAGCAGGUGCGAAAGCAGGUCAUAGUGAUCCGGUGGUUCUGAAUGGAAGGGCCAUCGCUCAACGGAUAAAAGGUACUCCGGGGAUAACAGGCUGAUACCGCCCAAGAGUUCAUAUCGACGGCGGUGUUUGGCACCUCGAUGUCGGCUCAUCACAUCCUGGGGCUGAAGUAGGUCCCAAGGGUAUGGCUGUUCGCCAUUUAAAGUGGUACGCGAGCUGGGUUUAGAACGUCGUGAGACAGUUCGGUCCCUAUCUGCCGUGGGCGCUGGAGAAUUGAGGGGGGCUGCUCCUAGUACGAGAGGACCGGAGUGGACGCAUCACUGGUGUUCGGGUUGUCAUGCCAAUGGCACUGCCCGGUAGCUAAAUGCGGAAGAGAUAAGUGCUGAAAGCAUCUAAGCACGAAACUUGCCCCGAGAUGAGUUCUCCCUGAGACUUUAAGUCUCCUGAAGGAACGUUGAAGACGACGACGUUGAUAGGCCGGGUGUGUAAGCGCAGCGAUGCGUUGAGCUAACCGGUACUAAUGAACCGUGAGGCUUAACCUU
rnacentral:rRNA from 1 species